rnacentral:rRNA from 1 species
AUACGUAGGGGGCGAGCGUUGUCCGGAAUGAUUGGGCGUAAAGGGCGCGUAGGCGGCCCGGUAAGUCUGGAGUGAAAGUCCUGUUUUUAAGAUGGGAAUUGCUUUGGAUACUGUCGGGCUUGAGUGCAGGAGAGGUAAGUGGAAUUCCCGGUGUAGCGGUGAAAUGCGUAGAGAUUGGGAGGAACACCAGUGGCGAAGGCGACUUACUGGACUGUAACUGACGCUGAGGCGCGAAAGUGUGUGGAGCAAACAGGAUUAGAUACCCUGGUAGUCCACACUGUAAACGAUGAAUGCUAGGUGUAGGGGGUAUCGACCCCUUCUGUGCCGCAGUCAACACAAUAAGUAUUCCGCCUGGGGAGUACGGCCGCAAGGUUGAAACUCAAAUGAAUUGACGGGG